CGCAUCUGUGCAUGCAGCAUAUCAAUAAGCGGAGGAAAAGAAACUAACAAGGAUUCCCCUAGUAACGGCGAGUGAAGCGGGAAGAGCUCAAAUUUGAAAUCUUAAAGGGUUUCCCUUUACGAAUUGUAGUUUAAAGAAGUGUUUUCUGUUGAGGUUUUGGUAAAAGUUCUUUGGAAUAGGACAUCAUAGAGGGUGAGAAUCCCGUAUUUGACCUUUACUUUCAACUUUGUGAUACACAUUUCGAAGAGUCGGAUUGUUUGGGAAUGCAGUCCAAAAUGGGUGGUAAAUUUCAUCUAAAGCUAAAUAUUGGCGAGAGACCGAUAGCGAACAAGUACCGUGAGGGAAAGAUGAAAAGAACUUUGAAAAGAGAGUUAAACAGUACGUGAAAUUGUCAAAAGGGAAGCGUUUGACACCAGUGUUGUUUUUCUGAAAAUCAAUUAAAGAACUGUUUAUGCUAAGUUGUUUAGACUUUAUCAGCUAACUGUUUAGUUUUGAGCUUUUCUUUAAUGCACUUUUCAGUUAACAAGUCAACAUCAAUUUCUUUUGCUGUAAAAAAGCUUGAGGAAGGUGGCUUGAGAUUCGUCUUAAGUGUUUAUAGCCUCUUGCCUAUGCAGUCGGAGAGAUUGAGGUCUGCAGCGUAGAUCCUUCGGGGCUAAAUGCAUUUGUGCUAAGUUAUAGCAUUUUAUAGACAACUUGUUGACUAUGAUUUGUCUUGUAGCUUACUCGCUUAUGUUAUUUUACCUACGCUUAGGAUGUUGAACGCGCACAGAGUCUC
rnacentral:rRNA from 1 species